AUUCUUUUGUUUGCAAUUCAAAC
rnacentral:tRNA from 1 species